AGUGAACGCUGGCGGUAGGCCUAACACAUGCAAGUCGAACGGCAGCACAGUAAGCGCUUGCUCUUACGGGUGGCGAGUGGCGGACGGGUGAGGAAUACAUCGGCAUCUACUUUUUCGUGGGGGAUAACGUAGGGAAACUUACGCUACUACCGCAUACGACCUACGGGUGAAAGCAGGGGAGCUUCGGACCUUGCGCGAUUGAAUGAGCCGAUGUCGGAUUAGCUAGUUGGCGGGGUAAAGGCCCACCAAGGCGACGAUCCGUAGCUGGUCUGAGAGGAUGAUCAGCCACACUGGAACUGAGACACGGUCCAGACUCCUACGGGAGGCAGCAGUGGGGAAUAUUGGACAAUGGGCGAAAGCCUGAUCCAGCCAUACCGCGUGGGUGAAGAAGGCCUUCGGGUUGUAAAGCCCUGUUGUUGGGAAAGAAAAGCAGCAGGUUAAUACCCCGCUGUUCUGACGGUACCCAAAGAAUAAGCACCGGCUAACUUCGUG
rnacentral:rRNA from 1 species